GAGGAUGGGAAGAUGAGAAGUGCUUGUCGCAGGCCUGGAGAUGGAGACCACCCAGGCAUGCAGGGGAUGCUGCCUCUCCUCCAUCCAACAACAAGCCUGCGUGUGCCCAGCCCCCUCUGGUACACGCAUUGCUCCCCAUCCUCGGCAUUGAUCAAUUGAAAAUAAGACCUUGGAAGAACCCCUUGCAAAGCUGACAUUGUACGAGCCAAGGCAGUGAGCCUCACAGGGUCAGGGGGAAGACAGGGGAUCCCGAAGAUAACGUCUGCUACGAACUCAAUUGCAUCCGCCCCAGGCCCUACGUGGAAGCCCUAAUCCCCACGGUGACUGCAUUUGGAGAAGGACCUUCAGCACAUGAUGGAGGCGGCCCCGGAGAGGGUCAGCGAGGGGCCUCCACUGUCUGAGUCCGCUCCUGGCAACGCCUGCUCUCUGCACUCAGAGGCCCGGUCCCGGCAGCUGCCACGUUGCUCAGAAGUUCUGGCAGGGGGAGCCUGAAACCCCUGUCUGCUGGCGACACUCCCGGAGCGGCAGGAAAUCUCUACAUUUUAUUUUUUUUCUUAACAGACAAAAGUAUUUGACUCCAGAAUGAUUUCCAGGAAUUACAGUAUGAGAACUUAGUCUUUGAGAUUUUUAUUUUCUUCUUAAAAAAAUAAAAAUGAAAUCAAAGCAGAAGACA
rnacentral:lncRNA from 1 species